AAUUCAUAAAUUCAAAAUUCUAAAAUCACUUAUGUAUGUAACAACAUGCAUUAGUAAAAUCUGGGAGUUGCCAAGGAAAUGCCAGCUGUAUUGUGUGAAAAAAAGAUUCACUAAUAGUAACUAUUGUAGUUUUGUCAACAAUUCGUCAAUCCCAAACUAAUUGGAAUUGACUUUAUGAAUCUUCACUAUGGCUCCAUUCGGACUUAGUGAAGUCUCAUCUUUAAACUUUAAUGAUUACACUGUGUCAUUCGUUAGUUACCACUAAAAUAUUUACCCAUGAUUUUAUUAUAUGAACAAGAAAAUUAAAUCUCCAUCGAACUCAGAAUUUCAUUUUAAUUUAUAAUUAAUGGUGAAAAGAAAAUAUAAGUUACCUGCUCAUUUGUGUUCCCAUCUUUUCUGCUGUUAUCUUUGGUGGAUACGCCCCUUCACUAAUUAAAGCGGAAAAUUGUAUAUAUCACUUACAAUAUCGUAAUGCUAAUGAAGUAGCUUUAAAAUCUAUAAAGAAUGAGAACGGAAAACGUAAAUCAAUUAAAAAGAUAAAAUUGUUGGUGUGGGUGAAUUUAGAGCAAGCAAAAAUCAUUUUGUUUUUGUUUUACUUCUUUUGGUAGAAACAAGGAGAUAUCAGGCAUAUACCUAAAAACAAAAUGGAAACAAACAACAUAUUGCUAAUAGAUCGAAUUAGAGUUGAAGAUGCGAUCAAUUUAUAGAUCCUUUUCAUCAUGUUACAAUUUUUUGUGAAAAAUAUGCAUUUAUGAAUAAAGGAUAAAAGGAGCUUAGGGUUUAGACGUCUUCUAAAGCCCUAAAUGACUUUUAGUCUGAAUCUCCAAAAAAAAAAAAAAAACAUAAAACACACAGAUAAAAUACAUCCUAGACCUGUUUCUACACUUAAUUACUACAUAGAUCUUGAUGAAAUUUACAAAUAAUAAGCUUAGGUUAUUAUAUUCAAGAAUAAGGAAUUCCUUACCUUUGCUUUAUCUCCAAUGAGCUACCAUUCAAGUCCAAUCUUUGCCUGCUGCCUGAAACUAAACAACCCACCAUAUUCUGAAGAUUAUUAUUAAUUAAAAGGCUUAUAUAUAUAAAAGAGCAUCAAUAGUCUCAGUUUUCCCAAAAUGUCAUUCACCUGCACUUGAACCUGCACCUCCUUUGAAUCCAUUGUACUUUCAUGUAGUCUUUAUCAUAAUGGAGCCUCUUUUUACUUUAUUUUUGGUUUCCUAUUUUCUUUUCCAUUACAUGAGAGAAGGGGAAAGGGCAUAGGCGAAUCCAGAAUAGAAUUUGCAGUUUAUGAGUUUUUAUAACGAUCUCAAGUAAAUAUAUAAUAAAGUAAGUAAUUGGAUUCACAAUCAAAUAUUUAUAUACAAGUUAUGUACAAAUUAAAAGGUAUUGAAUUGGUAAACCCAUACCUACUAGGUUGGAUCCGCCUCCCUGGGAGGGGAAGGUAGAUAGUGAAAAUCAAGGGAAAAGUGAAUAGUGAAAAUUGAAUUCACACCUAUUAUACGCGAAGAAUUUUUACCUGAUUAAAAAACCAAGGAAAAAAUGGUGAAAUUAAAGAGAGGAGAGUGAUGUAGGAGGUGCAGGUGCAAAUGCAGAUAAAGGAAACACUUUGGCGUUUUCAUUACUUGUUACUCUUCAUUCCUAAACAGCAAAUUGAAGGAAUUU
rnacentral:lncRNA from 1 species